rnacentral:rRNA from 1 species
UACGUAGGGGGCUAGCGUUGUCCGGAAUCAUUGGGCGUAAAGGGCGCGUAGGUGGCCCGGUCAGUUCGUGGUGAAAGCGCGGGGCUCAACCCUGCGUCGGCCAUGAAUACUGCCGCGGCUGGAGCACUGUAGAGGCAGGCGGAAUUCCGGGUGUAGCGGUGGAAUGCGUAGAGAUCCGGAAGAACACCGGUGGCGAAGGCGGCCUGCUGGGCAGUAGCUGACACUGAGGCGCGACAGCGUGGGGAGCAAACAGG